CCGCCUCUCCAUGCCAACUAGCGGUCCCCCUCACGGCCUCCCUUCGCGCUGUAUAGUUGGGACCCACAACUCCGCGAUGAGCGCGGCCUGCGAGCAAUGGCACGGUCAAGGACGGCGACAAAAAACAUCCUCCUUUUUCUCCGCCGUCCGUCCGUACAGUUCCUCCUAUUCCCCCUUUCCCCGAUAAUCCCAAAUUUCUCCACCCUUUUCGUCUGCUCUGAAUUCUUUCUCUUGUUAUUUUACUAAUUUUUUAUCAUUUUCUCUCCUCCAAUUCUGCUUAUUCUCCCCCCACCACGACCCCUCCUUAGAUUCCCUUGUACCUGUCUCACCUUUGAUCCCUUCCUUUCUUUCUUUGAUGUGAGAUCCCUUCCUUCUUUCCUUCGUUCUCGCUUUAUUUUAUAAGCGGUGGAAGGGAAGUUUUCCCGCGACCGUUCGCCCCUUUUCGUUGGAUUCGUUGGUGGGCGGUUUGAAAACCAUGCUUACCGACUCCGGUUCCAGUAUUGCCCACUUGCGUCUUUGAACAAGAUUCUUUCUUUCCUCCGAUUUCUCCUCCGCUGACGUGGUGUCUGAAAAAUCCGAUCUUUGGCGCCGCCUACUUAGUGCGUUUCGAGAGGGGUGUCGAAAGUUGCUCAUCCUAUCUUCUCGGCUCGCUUGUGUGCUUUGUUAAUUAAAGGGAUGUCUGCAGUUGCUUUCUUCUUGGUUGCGUUUAGUUCGCGAGCUGUUGGGUGCUAAAGGUGAGAGCUUUAUGAAUUUUUCAAGCCUUUCUAUGCCCGUUUAUUGAAUUUGUGGUGUUAGUAUGGAAUGGUUUGAGGUAGAACGGCAGCUUCUCGCAAUCUCAUUAUAAAAAGGCUGAUUAAUUUUGGGAUUGAAUUGAGGUGAGGUUUCUUAAGAUCUGAUUUUUGUGUUUGCUGUAAUUGUGGUUUUCGGGGAAUAGUUUUGGCGAUCUUCAAUUGGAAUUUAGAGUGUUGAAGUGGUGUUUGAUUUGGAUCAAAAGCUUCCAAUUAAUCAUACUCCAUCCAACAGCAAGUUUGGUGACUAGUCUUGUGAGUAUUGAAUGUUUGAGCAAGUAUCUACUAUUGCACAAUUCGAAGCGAACCUUCGAUCAAGGUGAAGUAAUGAGGCAACUUAGAUUUUCUACAUGGAUCGGGAUCGCAGCAUUUAUCAUCGGUGCACUGAUUCUGGGAGUUCUUUCUCAUUCUUUUCUCCAUGGAGGAAUUCCGGCCGCAGAUCCAGGGUUCAGAGCUGUGGCCCUGUCGAGGGGUCCUGGUGAUCCUCCAGUUUUUGCUUAUUGGAUAUCAGGAACCGGCGGUGAAGGUGAGAAGAUUUUGAGGCUCUUGAAGGCAGUUUAUCACCCGAGGAACCGCUACCUUUUGCACCUCGAUGCCGAUUCCACAGCUUCUGAGAGGAGAAGACUGGCGCUCUCCGUUCAGUCUGAUAAAAUUUUCAAAGCUUUUGCAAAUGUUUAUGUCGUGGGAAAAUCUUAUGCGGUUGAUCGGACGGGUUCAUCGGUACUUGCUGCUACACUCAAUGGAGCUGCAGUUCUGCUUAAGAUCAACUCAGACUGGGAUUGGUUCAUCAACUUGAGUUCUUCGGAUUAUCCAGUUGUAACUCAAGAUGAUCUUCUUCAUGCUUUCACUUCUUUACCAAGAGAUCUGAACUUCAUUGAUCACACAAGUGACCUUGGAUGGAAAGAGUAUGCAAGAUUUGAUAAAAUUAUUGUAGACCCAAGUCUUCAUAUGGACAAAAAUACUGAAUCCUUCUUUGCUUCAGAGACACGAACAACACCUGAUGCUUUUAAAUUAUUCACAGGUUCACCAUGGUUGAUUCUUAGCAGAUCCUUCGUGGAGCACUGUGUGCAUAGCUGGGAUAACCUCCCUAGGAAACUUCUUAUGUAUUUUGCCAAUGUGGCCUACUCAAUGGAAUCCUACUUCCAGACGGUGAUCUGCAACAGCCCUGAGUUCCAAAACACCACUGUCAACAGUGAUCUGAGGUACUUCAUUUGGGAUGAUCCACCAGGACUGGACCCUCUAUUUCUCAAUCAAUCACAUUACAAGGAGAUGAUAAAAAGUGGAGCAGCCUUUGCGAGGCGGUUCAUGGAAGAUGACAGAGUGCUCAAACAGAUAGAUAAAAAGAUACUAAGGCGUUCGUCAAAUGGAGUGGGCGUCGGAAAGUGGUGCUCAGGCCAGCUCAGCAGUCCGAAAAAGAAGGAUUUGGAGGAGGAUCCCUCCUUAACCUGGGGUGAUAUCAAUGUCGUCAUGCCUGGACCAUCAGGGAAGCGGCUCAGAAGUUUGGUGUCGGAGCUCAUUUCAGAUGAGAGGUUGCAUUCAAACCGGUGCAAGUUUACAUGAUGUAAUCUGGCCAUGGAUUGUGAUUGCCUUCAAAAUUAAGCCAUUUGGCAAAUGACUCUGCCAGCAUUCAUUUAAUCAGUUGGUCAGAAGGUGCUGUUGAACCAAAGGCCAUCGACUCAUCAGCACUUAUGAUGCAGUUGCCAGACAAUCAGCCAGAGGGGUGAUCCACCCUUCUCUGAGUCAGUCAGAUUACGAAUUCUCCAUUCUUAAAUGAAGGCAGUUGGACCGCCGAGCUAACGGCUACAAAUACAAUUGCGGCUCCCGUAUUUCUUAGAGAACGGCUGCAUUCUUUUUCUCGAAUUAGUAACUCGGAAAGCAUGGGUGGCAGACAAAAACGUUUUGAAGAGGUAGAAGAAGAAGAAGAGGGAAGCUUUGCCUGCGCAUGUCUGUGGGUGGGAUUCGGGUCGUACAAACAAAUGAGUUGGACUGGGUUGGGCUUUUCAAUCUAGCAUCUCAGUAGGGGCUCGCUCUACUUGAACGGCUGGGCCUGGGAAGUACAAGCACCAAGAAUCCCUCCACCGCCUGAAGCAAAUGCGGAAGUGUGACGAAGGCCCGCUACGGGUUGCUCUCUGUGUGUCCCCCCCUCGUCAUCUAAUGCAUCCAAGCUGGAAAUGCAUGAUAUCACCUAUUUCUCCUUGUCUAAUUUUCAACUGCACAGAUGCAAUCUGGCAAAUGGGAUUGUAGCCUAGAUUGUCAGGAAGCAAACGACAUUUCCCAGAGUUCGACAUGGAUAAUUCUUCUCUUGUUUCUAUAUAUCAAAAUUAUUGUUAUGUUCUUUUUUAAA